rnacentral:lncRNA from 10 species
AAAUGAUCGACUCACCCACAUGGAGGACACUUGCACUCCAUUUUUCCUUGAACAGCCAGAGUAGUCCCAGAAAAAGUUAGUGAACUUUGUAGGAAGCAAUGCUGCAUAUGAAAAGGGAACACAUGCCGGGUGUGGUGGCUCAUGCCUGUAAUCCCAGCCCUUUGGGAGGCCGAGUUGGGCGGAUCAUCUGAAGUCAGGAGUUGGAGACCAGCCUGGCCAACAUGGCAAAACCCUGUCUGUACUAAAAACACACACACACACACAAAAUUAGCCAGGUGUGGUGGCACACGCCUGUAAUCCCAGCUACUCAGGAGGCUAGGGAGGGAGAACCUAGGAGAUGGAGGUUGCAGUGAGCCGAGAUCACACCACUGCACUCCAGCCUGGGUGACAAGCGAGACUCUGUCUGGAAAAAAAAAAAAAGAAGAAGAAAAAGAAAAGGAAACACAAACUUUGGAGUUGGAAAAUAAUUGUCUUUGAUUCCCAACUAUGCAGCUUCCUAAAAUUUGAAUGUGGGUAAUUUAUUUGCUACUCUCAACCUAUGUUUUACCAAUUAUUAAAUAAAAGCCUGCUCAUUGCUUUAGACUUAUUCUACCCAAAAUAUCUUAUUCCAAGGCCACACACUGAAUCUGUUCAUUGCAAAAAGCUACUCUGCAUAGGAUUGAUCCCAGCCUCCAAGAUAGAUACUCCAUGGGAAUACACAACUUGUUCUUAACUUACCAGUGCAGUCUCAGUUCCUUUAGCACAUUGUUGAAUAUGUGCCAUAAGACGAUUCAGUCAAAAUGAUCUCCAAUAUUUUACAGAAUAAAUCUUUUUUUUUAGAUCAUAUGAAGUGUGCGUAUGGUACCUAUUGGAGCUAUCUUGAGCCCAUAUAAAGAGUAAGCUUUAGAAUGACGGCGACUCACAGAGAAAGCUAAGAAUCAUCAGAAAAUGAAAAUCGAUACGGCACUGUGUGCUAAUGGGCUGCCCACUCCUUCCUGAAACUACAAACUUGGAGGUCAUGUGUUGAGAUGGCAAGAACAAGAUGGAGGCAACUUGGAUCCUAGAGGAACAAGAUUGAGGAGAAUGUGCCCCUUUCCUCCUACCAGCCCAUGUUUAAUUGGGCAUAAAAAAAGAAAUAUGGAUGGAGACCACAUGAAAAUUGAAGGCAAGAGGAUGUAUGGUGUCUUCAAGAAUACCAAAGAAAUCGGUUUUGAUGUUCAACGUUUCAUGCAAGUUCAAAAAACUUGAUUCUGGUAGCAAAAUUAUAGCAGGAAGAGGAAGCAGGACACCAGAGGCUUUUCUUUUCAUGGUGAGUGUCAAACUGAAGCAUAGCCAUCCGUACUUUUUAAUGGAAUGAACAAGCUGUGCUCUCUAAAAACCAGAAUAACUAUUAAUAUCAUCAUCAGCUAUGGAAAUACAGUGGCAGAAUGUGUUAUGUCCCUAGCAACAAUCCUUUUUCUCCUCAGAACUCACCUUGCUUACAUCAUUUCUCACCUUAAGAAAUCAAUUAAUUCGAAGACUUCCUCCACCUAUCCCACUCUAAGACUUAAGAGUCUAAGAGAUAAACAAUACAAUUUGUUCUCUCAUUUUCUCUACAGAGACCUCCU